UACGGGGGGGGCAAGCGUUGUUCGGAAUUACUGGGCGUAAAGGGCUCGUAGGUGGUCAACUAAGUCGGACGUGAAAUCCCUCGGCUUAACCGGGGAACUGCGUCCGAUACUGGAUGACUUGAGUUCGGGAGAGGGAUGCGGAAUUCCAGGUGUAGCGGUGAAAUGCGUAGAUAUCAGGAGGAACACCGGUGGCGAAGGCGGGUCUCUGGGCAGUAACUGACGCUGAGGAGCGAAAGCGUGGGGAGCGAACAGG
rnacentral:rRNA from 1 species